UACGUAGGGUGCAAGCGUUGUCCGGAAUUAUUGGGCGUAAAGAGCUCGUAGGCGGUCUGUUGCGUCGGCUGUGAAAACCCGGGGCUCAACCCCGGGCCUGCAGCCGAUACGGGCAGACUAGAGUUCGGUAGGGGAGUCUGGAAUUCCCGGUGUAGCGGUGAAAUGCGCAGAUAUCGGGAAGAACACCCGUGGCUAAGGCGGCUCUCUAGUACGGUACUGACGCUGAGACGCGAAAGCGUGGGGAGCGAACAGG
rnacentral:rRNA from 1 species